AAAAGAACAGUUCUGAAAUAGGAAACAUUAUUCAUUUAUUCCAAAAACUGAUAACUACUACAAAAUAAGGUAAGAUUUCUAAAGUGUAAGUGCUAAGAUAAUUAUCAUUUAUAAUUUGUUCACCUGUUUCUUUUCAAUUUAACAUUACUUUAAUUUCAAUAGACAACUUGCCUCUUCAUUAUUUUAAAAACUAAAUAGAAAUUGAGAAAAUCUAUUGAAAUCAAUUAAAUAUGCAAGGCUUAUAAAUAGGUACGUAGUAAUUGUUUGGUAACGUGAUGACAUUUAUAAUACACCAUAAAUAUAAACAUUUCAAAAGGAUACAAUUUUGAAAAUCAAAAAAAAUGAUGAAAUUAGCAAGAUCAUUGAAUUCUAGAAAAAAACACCUUUUCUUUAAUAUAUUUUGUGUUUAAAAAGAAAUAUCAUGAAAUAUCAUACAGAUCAGUUUAAAUUGUUUAUGAAAUUGAAUAAGACAUUACAUGUACGUAUUUUUGAAGUCAGUUUGUUUGAAUACCUAACUACGGCUGAACAUGUAUUAUGUUAAAAAAAAAGUGUUUUUUUAUUGAAUAUGUAUAUCCCUGAACUAAAUGUUGUACUUAAAAGUAUGAAGUUAAAGUUUUUUUCUUUUUAAAUGAAUUUUUGAGAAUACCGGAAAAUGAUUGUGAUAUUGAAGAAAAUUCAUAUCUAUCAGUACUAUGUCAGAUUUUAAACAGGUGAAUGCAAUGCAUUGCCAAUCUUUUUAGUUUAAGGGCAUACGAUACAGUUUUGAUCCUGUAUUUACAAGUUCAUGAAAAUUUGCAUAUAGGCUAUUUUUUACCUGAUUAAAUCAAUAUGUAAUAAAAAAUAUACCUUAAUGUGCUACUUUUUGAGUAAAAUGAGGUCGAAAUUUUGUAUAUUUGCUCAAAAUUCAGAUUUUUGGCCGUAAUUUCUUUUUCGAAAGAAAGACAUAACUUUUUUGUUAUAAAAGAUAAACACAAAUUGUUUUUUGUUAAACAAUCGUUAAUUUCUGUAUUUUAUAAGUAUCCUAAAAAAAUAUGCAUUUUUUAAUUCAGAAAUAACUCAUAUUUAUCAAAUGUUCAUGAAUUGAGGAAAAGACGUCAUAUUUUGCUGCAUGUUUAUCAAAAUUAAAAAAAAUCCUCUAUUUACAGUUUUAUAAAAUUUGGGUCACAUAAUCUCCCUGCAAAAUGAAACAAAUUGCCGUUUUGAAAAAUAGGGGUCCAUAAACUCGUUUUCAAAUUAAAUCAGCUUGAAUGAUAAAAAUCAGUCGAAAAAUGCAUCUUUUCCCGAUAUGUCACAGUUUGACGUCGCGAAAAUAACAUUUUACGUUAGCACGUCAUUACCUCCCCUGUAACUGUAUCGUAUGCCCUUAAACUUGUAUUUGCAUUUGUUAUUGAAUGGAUCACUUUCUAUUAUUUGAGUUUGAAAAAUAAUUCCAUUACAUAUAUUUUACAAAUUUAAACUUCAUAUUUUACUACAUAAAUGAGAAUUGCUGUCUACAAUAAGUUUGGUCAAUCGGAUCUAUUAAUUUCUAAGUAAAAUUCUAAAACAUCUGAAGUAAAAUGCUUGCAGGUCUAAAUUAUAACCCGCAACUUUUUUUAUUACAUAAUUUCUACAUAUUUUUAUACAGAUGUUUAAAACAUGCUAUCUUCCUAUAUCUAUUAUGUUGUAUAUUUCAGACAAUUGAAAAUGAUGAGAUUUGAAACUAUGUCAUUGUCAAUGUUGUUGACUAUAAUGUCAGUAGCUGGUAAGCAUUUUGUUAUUUUCACCUUUUCUAUUAUUUUCUUUUAUUGUGCUUUCAAACAGUUUUGAUACCAGCAUUAUGGAUGCAUAUUAUGUAAACGACAUCUGGCGUACACAAUUAUCUUAAGUCUGGUACCUUUGAUGAGCUUUGUUUUUACACAAAUAUGUCUGACGCAGUUAAGAUACAAUUCCACAAAGAUACCACACUUUUAAUUCUGUAAACAAGACCCGCAUAUCGUCUAAAAAAGACCCAGCCGAAAAGCUCAAAUCUAAGUGCUAAAAUCAAGUUUGAAUUUGAGGUCAACAGAUGUUCGAAGUUUUUUAAUGUAAGUUUGGCAGUUAAUUUAUGAAUAUGACCAUAUCGAUGUCAACCUAACUUAUCAUUGAUAAACCUGUAUAUACAUUAUAAUGAAAAUAACACAGUAUCAAGAUGAUAGUUUUGCUAUAUUCGCAUUAAACAGGCACGCAUUAAAACGAUUUUAAAACAGCUAUUACUUCUGUCACAAAGCUCGUACAUUUUUUACAGCCUAUACACCUACAGAAAAGAAAUUAGGUCUACAUGGAGUAAACAAGGUAUUACAGCUUGAGAAUGGAGUUGGUAGAGACAUUGGAGGUCACCGAGGAGAGUCACUUACUGUGUUGGAUGUAAUUGAUGCAAACAGACGAGCAGGAUCUGACAGAAGAAGUUCAGCUGUCUCUGAAAUUAUAAGAAGCUCUUCAUUUCAGAAUUCUGCUGGUAUAGCAAGCAAUGAUGGUUUAAACAAAAACUGUCAUUACGAGUGUGGAGUAGAUAAAUUCUGUAACCUAGGACAGAAAUGUGUACGCGAUGGAUGUGACAGUUAUUGUGUCCAAGUUUCAUCUGGAAGUGUCAUUGGUGAAUCUGGAUUGUCGGGGUCUAUAAGAAGUGGAAAUGGAAAUACAGUUUCAGAAAUUAUUAGAGGUUCAUCAUCUGACAUUUCAAGACUGUCAAGCAUUGAUGGUUCAAAAUGCAGUUAUGGAUGUGGAGAAAAUAAACUAUGUGCAUCAGGACAUAAAUGUAUCCUCGAAGGAUGCAACAGCUAUUGCGUUCAAUUAUCAUCUAGUAGCCUAAUUGGUUCAGGUCAGUCUUUAACCGGACGUUUGGGUCUAUCUAACAAUGGUCAUUUGGAAACUAUUGGUAGCAGUGGUUCAAUGUCUGGUCACACAGGUUCUGAUAUUCUUGACGCUAUCUCAGCUAGACGAAGUGGCAUUAAUGCAUUGGACACAAUUACAUCUAGACGUAGUGGCACGGAUGCAUUGGACACAAUUUCUUCUAGACGAGUAGGAUCAGUUGGAUCAUCUGGUUCAAUUAUCGUUUCUCAGUCAGUAAAAGGAGGCCGCAGUGAAUGUAGUAAACUAUGUCAUACUGAUUCAGAUUGUGCACCAAGCAAAUACUGUACCACUGUUAAAUGCCACAGGCUUUGUAGAAGAAGGCCAUCUAAAGGUAAUUCAGGAUGAAUAUAAUAAGAACUUUGAAGAAAUCCACAAUUUUUUUACCCAAAUUGUUUUUUUUUUUUAUUAUGAAAUAAAUAAAAUGUUAAAUACAAUUAGUCUUGUUGUAAAAAUGUUUAAAAUCACCCAAAACUAUAAAAUGGUUAAGACAUUGAGGCAAUUAUAAUCAUAAAAAAAUUACACCAUACAAACAGAUAUAAAAUACACGUACAUUAACAAUAGCAUAACUAAAGAUAGCCGAUUUGAAGUUUUAUGGUUCAAUUUGAUCUUUUUCAUUAAAAAAGGAAGAAUAUUUCGAAAUAAAGAUAUUACAAAAACAAAUAAAGGACAUUAUAUGAAUGGUAACCGCUCCUGUAAAUUAAAAAAAAAUAUAAAUGAAGCGUAAAUGAUUAUGUAGUGUGAAUAAACCAUAUGAUACACACGUUAGCAUAAAACACAAAAGACAUGCAAAAUGUGAUUAUAUCAUAUUGUGUUAGCCUUAAUGUUGGCCUUUUGGUGAGGUUAAUAAAGGCAACAAUAGUUGCUCUCGUUUGAAUUUUUUUACAUUGUCUUAUCGGGGCCUUUUAUAGCUGACUAUGCGGUAUGGGCAUUUGCUCAUUGUUGAAGGCCGUACGGUGACCUAUAGUUGUUAAUGUCUGUGUCAUUUUGGUCUUUUGUGGAUAGUUGUCUCAUUGGCAAUCAUACCACAUUUUCUUUUUUAUAAAUAGUUAACCGUUGUUCGAAAUUCAUAAAUCGAUUGAGAAAAUCAAACCCCACAAAUUCGGGUAACAAACUAAAACCCAGGGAUACACAUCAAAUAUAAGAGGAGAACUUAGACACAACAGAAACACAACAUUAAAAUGUAACACACACAGAAACGAACUAUGAUGUAACAAUGGCCAUUUUCCUGACUUAAUACAGGACAUUUAAAUGGUGGGUUGAACCUGGUUUUGUGGCAUGCCAAACCUUCCGCUUUUAUGGCAAUGUUAAAUAUAACAUUAAAAUGACAGCCUUAUAUAAUAGGACUACAAUACAAUAAAUGGGAGAACAUACAGGGCAGAGAAACACUUGAAUUAUAGCAAACAAAAGGUGACAGGUUUACAAUUUAAUACGCAAGAUGCGCGUUUCGUCAACACAAGACUAACCAGAGACUCUCUGAUGAAAAGAGUUCGAAAGCCAAAAUAAAGUACAAAGUUGAAGAGCAUUGAGGGCCAAAAGUUCCAAAAAGUUUAUCCAAAUACGGCUUGUUUUUUUUUGCCUGUGAUAAGAACAUCCUUAUCAUUUAGAAUAGUUCAUACUUUUGCAAACAGUAAUUUUAUAAAAUGACUUUAUAAUAGAUAUAAAUGAUAAAACCGGUGAAUAACUACAAAAUAAAACGAAUAGGUAAAUAAUUUAAACCAGAAUAUAGAAAUCUACAACCGCGUUAGCCAAAUCGAUAAACGCACAAAUUUAAGUGACGUCACAUUUGAAUUUACAACUACAAACGAUAAUAAUUUGACAAAAUCAGAUGAGAAUAACAAAUAUUACCUCAAAACUAAAUACAUGAAUUUCGGUUGGAAAAUACCGUGACACGUCUUAUAUAUAGCAAUGAGAAUUUACACUCAGCAACAAAAGUACAAUCAGGAAUAAUUCACGUUCGGUAAUUCAAUGAUCAGACGACGUAAUGACAAACCACACUCUAACACGUGGUCAAAAUGUCUUUAGUUAGUUUGGACAAGGACACAUUGUAUGGAUCAACCAUUUCGUGAUGGUAAAAUAAUAAAUAUGAAUUGUAUAUGCUAAUGCAUACAUGUCACUGCUAGUGUUGUGAUUGUAUUUAGCUAGGAAAAUAUCAUUUUAACAGUUUAAUUAUUCAAAAAGAGAUAAAAAGGUAUUUGUCACCCGUUAAUAAUGUUUAAGAAAAUAAGUUUUAAUACUAGGAUGUUCUUCAAAGAAGAACCACAUUUGAAACACAACAGCACAAAAACAUAAAACAACAUGAACAGUGUCUUCAUAUAUUUUUGUGUUAAAAUUAAUGUUGGCCUUAGCGAUAACAAAGUCAUGAACAAUAUCAUAGAAUGUCUGUUUUAAAACCACACAUAUGUUUGCGCACAUGUCACUGCUUUAAAAGAGGAGCGAGAAUACCAGAGGGAUAUUCAAACUCAUCGAUCAAAAAUAAACUAACAACACCAUGACAAAAGAGAAAAAGACAAAAGGACAAACAAUAAUACAACAUAGACUUAACAUAGAAAACUAAAGACUUAGCAAAACGAACUCCAUCAACAACUGGGGAUGGUGUCAGGUGCUCUAGAAAGUUCAGCAGUUCCUGCUCUUCAUGUGACAACCGUCGUACUGCCCAUGUUUAUUCAAACCCGUAAAUAAUCUAAUUUGGAUGGUCACAUUCGUGAAAAAAGGAACAUAAUUGUAGUUACGAAAUAGAAAAACAUAUCCGUUAUCAUUUGUGACAUGGAUAUUCUAUAGCAGUUAACCAACUCGUAAUGGCGUCUUUAAAAUUUACGCUUGGACAUUUUUAACUUCACCAUUUGAAAUUAUUUUUUAAAUACUUUCCUUUUGAGCAGCAACCCUCUAUCAAGGAAAUAUGACAGAAAACAAAAGCUCGUGAUAUCAUUUCAAAUGGGAGAUAUACAUUCCGUAUGCAGCAGCUGCUGGAAUGUUGCUACAAAGUUCACAAAGAGAAAGCUGAAACCACCUCUUUUGUCGUACGGUUUAGUUUUCAACCGACCAUUCAUUGUUAUUUUCUAGAUGUUAGUAAAGAUAUGAGGCAGACUCAUCUGUUGUAUCAAUAAUCUUCACUUCAAUUGGAUAGAUGCGUAUAAUAUAGUCAGCAAAUUAUGAAUUAUUUAGUGAGAGAACAUCAUCUUUUUGACGGAAAGUGAAGUACAAGAAUAUUGCUAACUUCUUUUUUUUCUUCCUUAGAAGUAUCUGUAUGAGGCCAGCAUCAUAAGAAUAAAGGAACAAGUGAGCAAGAAGAGGGACACAAUUGGUUACCAUGGGAUUCCGGUAGUAUGUUUAAAAGUACGUCCUCCAAACGUAACAAAUAUGUAUUCGAUCAAGAAAUCAAGCAUCUUCACAAUGUCAGUGUCAGUGAUUUCUUUUGGUCUGAAUCCGAGUUAUUUUUUACAAAGUAAGAUUUAUUCCUCGUAAAGAUAAGAUACUUGUAUUUACUUUGUUCUUUUUUUAUGAAACAAAGCAAUACCAACUGUUUCAAUUUGUCUUUUAGUUUGGUAUAGGGUGUACCCAAAAAAUCUUUGGAAUGUUUCAGUAUCCACAUCUGAUUCACACCACCUCUAGAAUAGGAUGAUUUACAAUAACAUUGAAGCCUGGCUUUGAUUGCUUCUAAGAUUAAUGUUAAUAAUUCAAAAAGAGAUUUCUUGGAGCACUUGGAAGACCCAGCAAUAUACCAUUGUGUUUAAGGACACUUAUGUAGAUUAGAAUUUCAAUACAGUUAUUGGAAAUCCAGUUAUUCAUCUUUGAUUGAAAUUCCAAAGAUGCAUAACAUGAGUAUCAGGAUUUCAUCUUUAGAAAGUGUCGUGGGGUAUAUAUUAAAUUUCAAAGUGAAUAUUCAAUACCUAGUUCAUUUGUCAAGCAGUCUAUGUAAUGUGAUUUACACACAAAAACGAUGUUGUUUGGAACUUUAUCUGCAGGGACAACAACAUAUUUGUCAUUGAUCAGGGAGGACUCGUAUAUUGGAUUGUUAAAAACGAUCGAUAUUGUUUUGGACAAUAUAACCCUAAAUAAAACGACACAAUAAAUGCAAGACGUACGAUUAUAUUUUAUAUAUAUUACAAUUGUCCAAUUUCUUAAAAAAUGUUUAUUAUAAAUAAUUCAAAUAUCAGAAAUAUAAGCACUCUACCAAUAAGUAAGUGGAAGGUGCACUGAAUUAUGUUAUAGUUUUUAUAAACAUGGUUGUUAUGAUCCCCGGAAAAUACCAGGAACAUAUUGUCAUUUGUAAGUUCGUACUAACGUCUUCUUCUUUGUGUGAGAAACAAACAGUUGACCGAUUAUAAUUUGUGAAGACGUUCGCAUUCAAAUUAUAAAAAAAAACCGACACCGUGCUAAAAAACAAAAAAACGACAACAAAAAACAUAUAUUUCAGUUUAUAAUUAAACUUGUAUUGAUUGAAGACAUAUAGAUAAGAGGCAACUCCCAUUUAUUUUAUUUUAUUUUAUGUUAAAAGGUAAAAAGUCAAGGUCAAAUCUACUUCUAAAACAAACAAUUGCAAUUUGUUGUUAUUUAGUGAAGGUUUGAGGUACACUAGUGAAUUUGGUAAAACUAAUUCAAGUGAAUGUAAGUAAAAACAAACAGGAAACUGCUGUUGGUUUAAAAAGGUAGAUAUUAAAGGUAUCAAUUGCUUUGUAUAGUUGUGCAUAUUAUAAAAUGUCUGGUUUCAAAUAAUUAUCUUGCAUAUGUAUUUCCUUUUUUCUUUUUUCUGGAUAUAUUUACUACGAUUAUGCUUCCACACCGAAUGAGUUGUUUGUUUGUAAUGCUAUCCUCAAUGCUAUCCUUAAAAAAGCCAUGUGAGGAUUUCUGCAAUAAGGACCUUAAACGAAGCAUUAUACAGUUUGACAAAAUUUGAUAAGACUCUUGAGUCUUCUUAAUUAUUGACCUCAUGUGUGACAGAUAAGCUAUAGUUAGGUUGAUGAAAUAUCUUAAAAUGAAAUCGUUAGCCUUCCUGGCCAUAUAUAUGUCAGGAAACAUAGGGUCAGGGAACCAGAGCCUCAUACAGUUUGGUUUAAGUUUAAGAUUAUCCCCAAAAAGCUGGAUUUAUAUUGGAACUCAUGAAAAAUAUUGGGCAUAAUUGGGGUUCUUAGACAACUGAUGUUUUGUACUUUCUGUAUAAUAUAGAAUAUAUUUAGUGAUAAGUUGAUAGUCAACUGAAUGGUUACACAUGUAUACAGAUGAAAAAUCAGGAAUGGAAAUCCAUAAUUUAUUUGUCUCUCCAAAUAUGCUAGCAUUCUUAAUUAUGAAUAUAUAUUUAAAAAAAUCAAAAAAUCUCAAUAUAAAUGUGCCGUUCAGUUAUGACUAGACCGUCGUGCAGGUUUUCCACGUUUUUCAUUAAUUGCAUUUCGGCAUUGGUCUAGCUUCAAGUAGCUGUUUCUUUUUGUUAUAGUUUUAGUGCUUUAUACUGAUCUGAUGUGCUUUCCGUCAGAUAUUUUUAUUUUGUUGUUUUUUUUUCACAGCUAUCGCAAGUAAUUUAAGGUGGUUUUCAAUCUCUCAAACAACGCAACAUUAUUUCACUUAUAUUAUUAGCACCUUUGAAAAUUAUAUUAUUCAAUUUACAAACUUUAACAUCAUAAAUUAUUUUUGCUUAUUUGUUGUGUUUACAUGUUUAUAAGAUAGUUUUUCUUGUACAGCUCGAUGAGUACCUAAAUGUUUAUGUUUGUCGUUAUGUGAAUACAAAAAAGUAAAUAAAAAAAAAAAAAAAGAACAUUUCGUAUCAAAAAGUCAGAAAAGUCGUACAUAAUUAUAACUAGACUUAAAUAGCUAAAGGUGCCACGCAUCCUAACUAUUAAAUAAAAAUCAAUAUCAUACGAAUACGCUUGAUCAUAUCAUCUAUGCUAAUCCAGCAUAUCCCAUAUAACGUAAAAGGGAUAAUUAAUUAAAAUAAGAAAAUAAAAAAAAAUAAAAUUUCGAAAGAUUAAGUUUGUAUGUUACUUAGGUUCAUUCAUUUCGAUAUAUGAAAAUAUUCAUUCAGUAGAAGUAUAUAACAUUUUUUUUACUUAUUUUAGUGUCAUUGAAAAUUAUUCACACCGAAAUAAGUAAAAUAUUAAAGAAAACAUCAUCAAAAACUAUGUGUUGUAUACUUAACAACACAUCAUUUCAAUACAAGGCUUCACUUAAAUCUAUGUGGUCAAUAUAUGGUACAAAUAGAUAAAUGGUCAGUAAUAUAUGUCAAGCUCCAAUGAAACAAACCCUUUGCAAAUUCAAUUCUUUGACUAUCAAUGAAUUUUUCUAAAUAAACUCAUCAUAUAUACCAGGACUAAAUUUUAUAUAUACACAAGACACGGCGUUUCGUCUUAAAAAGACUCAUCAGUGACGCUCGAAUCCAAGAAAGUUAAAAAAAAAAAAAAAAAAAAAAGCCAAGUAAAGUACGAAGUUGAAGAGCAUUGAGAUCCAAAAUUCCCAAAAGUGUUGCCAAAUACAGCUAAGGUAAUCUAUGCCUGAUGUAGAAAAGCCUAUCAAUGAAUGUUUUUAAUUGUUUCAACAUUUUUUACAUAACAUUUAUCGAAAAAUAAAAUUUCAGUAGAGACGAAAUUUAUCAUCAAGGUAGUUGUGAAAUCAAUCAUGCGAUUGUCUUAACAUGUGUGUUUCUGUUGUUGUAGUGUUUUUGUGUUGUGUGUUUUUCUUCACUUUGACCCUUGUUCUUAUUGUUUAAAGAUAGUCAAUUGCGAUAAAAAUCACAUAAUUAUCAUAAACGAUUAGAGACAUCUAUUCAAAUAUUUUAUAAAGCAUAAAUUAUUAUAUCUAAAUAAAAAAUACAGUUGGUUAACUAUUUUUUGAGGAAAUAGAAACAGUACGGUUUGUUUAUGCUAAACUGUACAAGUCUCUGACUACUACCUUAUACAUAAUAUGUGUAUUUAUGUACAUUACUAAUACAUCAAAACAGCAUUUUGAAGUACAUAUAUCUACUAUGACGUAACCAAAAAACAAGUGUAAUACAAAAGGAAAUAGUAUGUGCAUUUGAACCCAAUAAGUACAUAUAGGUUUUUUUAAAUUUGCAUAUUGUGCAAUUAUUAUUCGUUACCUGGUAAUGUUUUGCGUAGUAAAUUGGUUUAAUAACAUGAUGACUUUAAUAAUACACCAUACAUACAAAAAUUCCAAAAGGAUAACAUUUUGAAAAACAAUUAAUUAUGAAAUUCUAGAAACACACUUUUUUUUUAAUACAUUUUUGUUUUCAAAUAGAAAUAUUAUGAAAUUUACAUUGUUUAUGAAAUUAAAUAAGACAUUACGUAUGAUUAUAGUCAGUGACGAAUUUGCAAGUUUGUUUGAGUACCGAACUACGGCUUCACGUAUAUUAUAUAAAAAAAAAAAAACACGCAAUGGUUGUGACUAGCGUUUCUUAAUUGAUUUUGAAUUUUUCCGAACUAAAUGUUGGACUUUAAAGUUUGAAGUUGAUUUUUUUAAUAAAUUCUAGUGAAUACCAGAAAAUAAUUGAAAUAUAAAAAAAAAACUUAUCUGUUAGAACUUUGUCAGAUUUUAAACUGAUAAAUGCAAUGCAAUUGCAAUCUUUCAGUUUAAACUUAUGUUUGCAUUAUUUUAAUGAAUGAACCAAUAUCAGUCCUUUUAGUUUUUGUAAUAUACUUCCAUUACAUAUUUUUUACAAAUUUAAACUCCAUAUUUUACUACAUAAAUGAGGAUUGUUAUCUAAAAUAACUUUGGACAUACAUUUAUUCCCGUUAAUUCGCUUGACAAGUUUGGUUUUUUUUGUUGGAAAUUAUUUUUCCCUGUUUCGUGUUUUAUAUUGUUCUUGUUAACAUACCUUUGAUCUUGACGGUUACUUUCUAUAUCCCUUUUUUGUUGUUUGUCAAGCUAUUAAGAAUAGAAGAACAUGCAAAAUCUGAUCUAUUAAUUUCGAAAUUUUAAGUAAUUUGAAGUAAAACGCUUGCAGGGCUAAAUUAUAAUAAGUAACCUUUUUUAUUAUAUGAUUUAAAGUUAUUUUUGCAAACACAUGUUUUCAAACAUGCUUAUGUUGUAUAUUUCAGAUUCUUGAAAAUGAUGAGAUUUGAAACUAUGUCAUUGUCAAUGUUAUUGACCAUAAUGUCAGUAGCUGGUAAGCAUUAACUUAUAUUCGCUUUCCAAGAUUAUUAUUUUUUAUUUUGCUUUCAAACUGUGUUGAUACCAUAAUCUCUGAUAACACUCAUGAAGAAAGAAGAAACAUGUGUCUGGCGUACCAAAUUAUAAGUCUGCCACCUUUGAUAAGCUUUUUGUAAACAAAUUUGUCUGAUGUUUUUAAGGUCAAGUUCUAGUUACCGAACAAAGAUACGACGCUUAUAAUUCGGUACUCAAUAUUCGUGCUUCGUCUACAAAAGACACAUCAGGAAUGCUCGAAUUUAAAUGUUAUACAUGUUAUAAUACAGAAUCAAGAUUGAAUUUAAAGAGAACUGAGGAUUCAAAAUAUCCGAAGUGUUCUUAAAUAAAUGAAAUUUUCGCAGUUAGUUUAUAAGCAUGUCUAAUCAAUGGUAUUUAAAUUGAUCACUUAUGGAUCUGCAAGUAUAUUAUUACAAAUUAGAUUUAUAAUAAAAAAAGGCACUAUAUAAUGAUUUUCUAUAUUCUUAUUAAAAAAGUAAGUUUUCAAAGAAUUUUAAAAUAUUUGUUUGAUAUAAGUUUUACAAACCUCAUAUAUUUUUUACAGCCUAUACACCUACAGAAAAGAAAUUAGGUCUACAUGGAGUGAACAAAGUAUUACAGCUUGACAAUGGAGUUGGUAGAGACAUUAGCGGUCCUCUUGGAGACUCACUUUCUGUACUAGAUGUAAUUGAUGCAAAUAGACGAGCAGGAUCUGACAGAAGAAGUUCAGUUGUCUCCGGCAUAUAAGAAGCUCUCAUAUUCAAAGGUCUGCUGGUAUAUCAAGCAAUGUUGGUAUAAACAGAAACUGUCAUUAUGAGUGUGGAGUCAGAUAAAUUAUGUAGCCUAGGAAAAAAUGUAUACGCGAUGGAUGUGACAGUUAUUGUGUCCAAGUUUCAUCUGGGAGUAUUAUUGGUAAAUCUGGAUUGUCGGGGUCUAUAAGAAGUGGAACUGGAAAUACAGUUUCAGAAAUUAUUAGAGGUUCAUCAUCUGACAUUUCAAGACUGUCAAGCAUUGAUGGUUCAAAAUGCAGUUAUGGAUGUGGAGAAAAUAAACUAUGUGCAUCAGGACAUAAAUGUAUCCACGAAGGAUGCAACAGCUAUUGCGUUC
rnacentral:lncRNA from 1 species